GCGAGCUGGCAGAAACGUUAGCACGCCGGGCGAAAUGCUUAGCGGUAUUUUGUCUGUCUUUACGUUCUGAGUUCAAAUUCCGCCGGGGACAAUUUUGCUUUUCCUCCUUUCGGAUGAUAAAUUAAGGACCAUUUGCAUACUGGGUCGAUAUUAUCCACUGGCCCCUCCCUCCAAAUUUCGGGCCUUGUGCCUAGAUUAUAAA